ensembl:lncRNA
AGGGUCAUUCUAGCCUCAGAAACCCAUUUGGAACGAUGGCCUUGGGAGACUAGGGUCAUUCUAGCCUCAGAAACCUAUUUGGAACGAUGGCCUUGGGAGACUAGGGUCAUUCUAGCCUCAGAAACCCAUUUGGAACGAUGGCCUUGGGAGACUAGGGUCAUUCUAGCCUCAGAAACCCAUUUGGAACGAUGGCCUUGGGAGACUAGGGUCAUUCUAGCCUCAGAAACCCAUUUGGAACGAUGGCCUUGGGAGACUAGGGUCCUUCUAAUUGGGAGUAUACACCUGACAGGCGGUUUCCAUUUGUUCCUAAUACUAUAGUCAGAUACAAUUGUUUUUAGAAUAAUACAUGUACAGAGUAGAAACUAAAUGAACACUUCUUGUAGGCUUGAAUGUUGGAAAAAACCAGGCGCUGAUGAUAGCUUCCCAUCUGAACUAGGCUACUUUAAAUACUGUGGAGUCACAUGAUCUCUCUCUCUCAAUAGUUUGCCAUUUGAAAACAUUUGUUGCGCCAUCCUUUCCUCUUCCUCUCUCUUCUCUUGUCUUCCACGCCCCUUUACAUGGUGAACUGGUAUUUAUUUAGAAUGAUCUGAUUUGAUUCGGAGUGCAGUAAUGUAACUUAUUGUGUGGAUGGUUAUACAAAUCAAAUCACAUUUUAUUGGUCACAUACACAAAUGCUUGUAAAGUGUCUAGUAGAGGGGGUAGGGUCUGUCCUGUGUGUGUGUGUGUGUGGGGGGGGUCUGUCUAGUAGAGGGGGUAGGGUCUGUCCAGUAGAGUCUUUCUAGAAGGGGGUAGGAUCUGUCUAGGAGGUUCUGUCUAGUAGUGGGGGUAGGGUCUGUCUAGUAGCCUUUCUAGAAGGGGGAGGGUCUGUCUAGGAAGGAGGAGGGUCUGUCUAGUAAGGGCUGUCUAGUAGGGUCUCUCUAGUAGAGGGGUCUGUCCCGUGGGGGGGUAGGGUCUGUCUAGGAGGGUCUGUCCUGUGUGGGGUGGGGUCUGCCUAGUAGAGGGGUAGGGUCUGUCUAGGAGGGUCUGUCCUGGGGCGGGGGGGGGACACACACCCCUAGAUUGGCUAACUAUGUAAGAGCAAUUUUAAUGAUUCCAUUUCUUGAAUUCAAACCAAUAAGACAGUACAUGUUGACCUGCAAUACCAACUACCCUGUUGUUUUGUAGAAUAAUCCUCAGACUUCUCCUCUACCCAUAAUGCAAUGGGAACAACAUAACCCAAUUUAAUUUUACUCCCUGAUCAUGCAAUACAGCUUUAUUUGUCCAUUGUGAAACAGACAAAUGCAAUGUUUCAUCCAACCUAUAUUUGGUGUUUGGUUUGUACAUUACUGUACCCACAUUUGCACAGGAUUGAAAGAAUUAGCGAAAUCUCAAUUGGCAGAACCAAGCCAACACAUACUGUAGCUGCUAAAACACGAGGAAGACACUUGUUCUGAAUGAUUAAUAUUACAUAUUUAAAUCAUGAAGGUUUUAUGUAUUGAGAUUUGAAAGGUGACAUCUUUAUUACAUUUUAAAAUAGCUGUAUAAAGUUAUAAUGCAAUGUGAGAAAGUUCUGGAAUCGUUACAUCUUUGUAUCUGCUGUGUAGUUCAAUAUAUUUGAGGUGAUUUUGCUUUGGGUUAUUGGCUAAUAAAUCAACUUGUUCCUUUGAUAAUAUAUAUAUAUGAGCAGAAAACUUAUCAAAGGAACAAGUUGAUUUAUAUAUAUAUAUAUAUAUAAUUAUUGCAUAAGAGUAGAUUUUAUUUUGUUAAUGUUCAGAAAAACAACUUGAUACAAGAAUGUAAAAUCAAACCUUAACAGAUGAAUGGUAAAUAAUGUGACAUUAUCAGUCUGUCAUCUUUAAAUAAAGGUUGCAUAUUACUGCAUUACAGAGAAAUCUUCAUAAAUAUAAACAUCUCAACUUCAGAUUCUGUACAGGAAGUUUCCCUCAGAAGAAAAUAACUAUUUUCCAUUCUGUAGCACAGGCCAGGGCUUUGUAGACCGCAUUAGUUCCUCCAGUUCUUCAUCUGAUAACACUGUUCACAUCCCAUCUCUUCAUCUGCUCGUCUUUCUCCUCAACCUUCUCCGACACAUUGUCCUCUGGAUCUUUCUCAUCUUCCUCCUCCCUAGAGUUUUUUUGUCCUGAGGUGCAUCUGCUGUGCAGGGUGGGUAGUGAGGCCAGAGGAGCGGGGCUGUUUCCAAUAGUCAUGGGUCUAGGGCAAUCCUCCCCUCCUUGGGUAUCAGACUCUGGCUGGUUAGGAGGACUAGGGCACCGGUGCCACUUCCGUUGGGUGGCAUGGCUGGUGUGCUACUGCUGCUGUGUCCAGAGCCAGGCAGCUGCUGCCUACCCUGUCCCACCUCCACCCCCAGGUUGGACCUUUU